rnacentral:lncRNA from 1 species
AACGAUGUUCUCCGCUCCUCCACAGUCGAGUCGUAGUCUUUACUGACAGCCCAACUCGUUUUCCGGCAUCAAUAGUGCGGCGACCGAAAAAAUUCCUGAUGAGGUAUUCAUCAUCUACGCUCAUUGAGUCGGGUAGGCAGCUUAGGAUCCGACACACUCCUGAAUUGAGUCUUAUUUCCCUCUUGUUUGGCAAUGGUUAUGGAUAAUAACGAUGGUUAUGAAUUAUGGUG